rnacentral:lncRNA from 1 species
GCUGUUUAGAUUGGGUUUGGGUGGAUGCGAAGAGGAUGUCUCAAACUUCUUGGGCUUUGCUUCUCAACUUAUUCUGUCUUCUGGGACCCCCAGCCCAAGACCAUCCACCUCUUGGAUAGGUGGGCAUGCAGAUAUUUUGGAAUGUGAGUUUGGGGCAGGAUGACCGUGUAUGAAAGCUCAUUUGAGCACAAGUUCUGGCCCCCCUUUUCUCUCCCAUGGAGGCCCUGAACUGGCCAGCUCCUUGUUCAGGGCCUCCAAGGGAGAGAAAAGGGAACCUCAGUUACUCUUUGCCUUCUGAGGACAAUGUCUCACUCCCAAGACUUACGGCUGCUGCUCUAACAGCCUCAGAACACCCAAGGGAUCAUGAGCAAAGCACACAAGCCCUGCCUGCCGGAUAUGAAGCACUCUCCUGAGAGAAUUUGGGUUUUUUAAUUGGCUGAACAGAGUUUCAGCCCUUGGGGAAUUUGAUUUCUUAAGCAUACACCUUCCCCUUCCUUGUGUCCCUGGUGAGAAAAGCCAGUCCUGCUUUCUUCCUUUGGUAAUUUAAUCAGAGGAAAGAACUCUUUCUUUUUUUCUUUUUUUAAAAUAAUAUUUAUUAAAAGUUUCAGAAUUACAAAAAAAAAGAAAAAAUAGGAAACAACACUAUAAUACAUAAAAAGAAGAAAAAAAACAAAGCAUAAAAACCGAUACAACAAUACAGCAAAAAGAGAAAAAAGAGAAAAAGAAAAAAAAGACACAAAUCCCAUAUUACAUAUCUUUAACUUCCAUUUGCUUGUUUCAUUGACCUCCUCACACCUCCCUUUUUGUAUUCUAGUUUAAUUAGUUAUUUCAGCAAAUUCUUUCCAUCUUUCUCAAUUUUUAUUGAAUAACUUAUCUUAACAAUUUAACCUAUUAAUUAACUCAACAAAUCCUUUCCAUCUUUCCCCAUAUUCUGUUAUUCAAAUUGCCUUAAUUUAUUUAACCUUAUCUUACCGUAAAAUACCUUAGAGCUUGAAACUUAAUACUCAAUUAUACAUAACUCCUUAUAUCAUUUCUACUAAAGCCAUAUAGUUUCAUUCCAACAUUUCCCCUAAUAUUCAUUAAUUUUAGGCUAAUUCCCUAAAUAAAAAUUUUUCUUUAUAAAUUUUCUUCCAGUCUUCAUCCAACGUCUCUUCUUCCUGGUCUCGGGUCAUGUCAGUCCUUACUGUCCAUUCCAUCUAGUCCAUCAACCUGGUAAUCUUAUGUCCGAGGCUCUUAAGUCUCUUCCAUGUCCCUUCCACUCUUUCAAUGGUCUAAUAGAUUUGCUGAAUCAUUAAUUCUGUGCAUGCACAGAGGCUAUACCUCUUGAAACCCCAAAGAUGGGCAAGAUGGGGCAUUGCUCUCCACCUGGCUCCACCGGAUAUUGCUGAUGGCCAAUGAAAGCCCAAGCAGGGAUUCCUAGUGGGGAGUGUUGCUGUGGUAUAUUGGAGGAGCAGGGCCAGGAGGCUAACUUGGACACCUGAGAACACAGAAAAGCAGCAGCAAAACAACGACAUGUUUCCUUUUAAAUGGACCUUCCUGCUGAGUGUAAAGCACAGAUCCUCAUUUUUAAAGGGAAAAGGGAGAGAAGGCUUCUCCCAAAGUGUUAGAAGGCCACAAAUAAUGUAACAAUAGAACAAAACAAAUGUGCCAUUUCAUGUGAUACAGAAUCCUAUGUGCAAAUCUGUUAGAUUGAGAAAUUUGUAUUAAAUAAGAAAAACAAGUUAAAGGUGUGUGCUUGCAGGUAAGCAGAGUGGAGAUUUCCUGCGAGAUCUUGUGAGAUCUCAUUGAAGUCUUGCAAGAUGUCUAGGAGAGCAAAAUAUGUAUUGAGAUUUGGGAGAGAUCUUGCAUGCUCUUUCAGGGACCAAAGCCAUCACUGCUGCAGCGCCAAAGGCAGGUGGCUAAGGGGUGGUGAGUGUCCCACGGGGCGAAAUGGGAUGUACCCCCCCCCCUCAAGCUCAGGAUUCCAGAACUAACAACUGUCAGUUGGGAGGGACGGAAGGCAAGGACCCACAGCCCAGGUGGGGCUCGCUAGCUUGGGGAGGAGGUGUGUUGAUUCCUCAGCUAGAGUAGAUGCAGGAAUCACAUGCCUCAUCACCGCAGAAGCUGUAACUGGAAAGCUGUCCUGGCCAGGCCUGUGUCCUUUGGCUCCAGUUAGGAGUGAAAUGGAUGACGUCUGAUUUUUGGCGAAUUUUUUUUAAAAAAAAAAUUAUGAUUUUCAAGUUUAUACGUUUCAAUAAUUUUGCAGUCAUUUUAACAUUUCAAAACUUGACUUCCUUCCCCCUCUUUCUGCAGUUCCUUAAAUUGGUUCUUCAUAUCUUAUGCAUAUCCAAAUUACCUUAAUUUCUUCAUUUAUGCAUCUGCUUUAAAUAUAUAAUCUUAUUAAACUGCAGGUUAUUCCAAUAAUCCUGCCAAUGUUCUUAUCUGUUUACAGUUUGUAACUAGUCAUUAAACCAUUAAACCAUAAUAAAAAGUUUGUUCUCUUGCUCCUAGAAACGGUCAGCAUGCGACAGAGGCCACAUCCUGGGAACGGCUUUGACUGGCCACCUAAACCAGGUGAGGGCAACCAAGGAGUCUCAAAUGCACAGGAACUUCCCCAGUGUGCAAAGACAGGCUCCAGCAGAUUGAGCGGACAAGACCAAGCGUGGGCCCAGUGGUCAAGAAGGUGGUUUCUGCAAUGCUGUGGAGGGAAGUGAGGGGAAGAUGGGGCUCAUCCACCUAUAAAGGUAGCCCAUCGAGGAGAAAGAAAACUCUGAUCCUAAUUUGCCUUGUGGGAUAUCUUUGGGAGCUGAAAAGGCUAAGGAGAAAACCCUACACAAAUCUGGAGUGGAGUCCCUCAGGCGGUUGGAUGGCGCCGUUUACAACCCCUUCUGACAACUCCUGUAGCCAACUGGUGCCUAACUCUGCUUUCCUUGGAGACACAUCUGCAAGGCCAAGAGAGGGAGUCUUGUCAUCUGGGAAGCCCAGGACCUCCAGACACACUGCCCAGUCUUGCUCCCUGGAGAGGUCAUUUUGGGACUGCUGACACCGUUGCUUGACUUUUGACCUCACCCCCGGAGGCGCACUCCAUUGCUUCUCAAGACAGACAAAUGCCAACAUAAAAAAACUAUUUGAAAGAAUUUUAUUUCAUUCACAAAAGACAAUCUGGCAUGUGAUUAGGACAGUGGUUUUCAGACAAUGGGUGACACGUUUAUUGAUCCAGUUUGGAAGUCUCUGUCUUGCCUUCGCACAUGCACAGUUCCAUCUAGGAGCAACAACAAGGGAAGGAGCCAAACUGUCGACUCCUGCAGCGAGACUCAGGAUUUCCACUCAUGCUCACAAACGUAGGAAAAAGCACCGCCUAGGAUAAAAGGAUGAUCACAGAAUA